rnacentral:rRNA from 1 species
UCCCUAUGGGGUGCAGCAGGCGAGAAAACUUUGCAAUGUGCGAAAGCACGACAAGGUUAAUCCGAGUGGUUUCUGCUAAAGGAACCUUUCGUCAGUCCUAGAAACACUGAUGAAUAAGGGGUGGGCAAGUUCUGGUGUCAGCCGCCGCGGUAAAACCAGCACCUCAAGUGGUCAGGAUGAUUAUUGGGCCUAAAGCGUCCGUAGCCGGCUCUGUAAGUUUUCGGUUAAAUCUGUACGCUCAACGUACAGGCUGCCGGGAAUACUGUAGAGCUAGGGAGUGGGAGAGGUAGACGGUACUCGGUAGGAAGGGGUAAAAUCCUUUGAUCUAUUGAUGACCACCUGUGGCGAAGGCGGUCUACCAGAACACGUCCGACGGUGAGGGAUGAAAGCUGGGGGAGCAAACCGGAUUAGAUACCCGGGUAGUCCCAGCUGUAAACUAUGCAAACUCAGUGAUGCAUUGGCUUGUGGCCAAUGCAGUGCUGCAGGGAAGCCGUUAAGUUUGCCGCCUGGGAAGUACGCUCGCAAGAGUGAAACUUAAAGGAAUUGGCGGGGGAGCACCACAAGGGGUGAAGCCUGCGGUUCAAUUGGAUUCAACGCCGGAA